rnacentral:misc_RNA from 1 species
AACGCACAUUGCGCUGUGGGCGACCACAGCAUGCCUGUUUGAGUGUCGGCUCCCCAACCUCACCCAACCCAAGCCCCUCAUGCGAAUGAGGGACGUGGCGGCGGUGGAUGUGAGCGUUUCAUGUGGCUGUGAGCGGCCGUCUCGACGGCAGCGACGGGCUAGCGAAUCGCUUGAAGUGGAGUAGCGGCCGGGUGGCGCGCCUCCUCUGGAGGCAAGCGUGACGAAACCCAGCCAGUGUGUUAGCCUCCUCUCGGGGAAGUACCAUUGGCUGUGAGAUCGACACGUGGUCUGCGCCGGUUUCGCCUUGAUGUAAGGAGCACUUACUGAAUCAAAGCCUCGACCUCAAAUCAGGUAAGACUACCCGCUGAAUUUAA